UGGGAAGUCCUUGUGUUGCAAUCCC
rnacentral:rRNA from 1 species